rnacentral:lncRNA from 1 species
GGGCCUUGCCGGCUUUGGGCCCAGAGGCUGGAGGCUGGGCUCCCUCUUUCUUCCCUUCCUCCUUUCCUCUUUCCCUCCUUCCUUUCUUCCUUGCUUCUCCCUCCUCCCCUCCCUGCCUCCCUCCUCCCAUCUCUGUCUCCCUCUUCCCCUCCCUGCUUCCCUCCUCCCCACCUUCCCUCCCUCUUCCCCUCCUUCCCUCCCUCUUCCCCUCCUUCCCUCCCUCUUCCCCUCCUUCCCUCCCUCUUCCCCUCCUUCCCUCCCUCCUCAAGCACAACACAUCCACAUCGGCCCCCAGCCCAGCGCAGCUUUAAGAGACCCACUUACCUCAGAGGAACCCAAUCAAUCCCCACAAACACCUCUCUAGAAUAGGAAGAUGGAGAUACAGAGACAGUCCCACUCUAUCGCCAGGGUAGAGUGCAGUGGUGCAAUCAUGGCCCUCUGCAGCCUCCAACUCCUGGGCUCAAGCUAUUGUCCUAUCACAGCCUCUCAAGUAGCUUGGACUGCAGAGACUAUCAGAAUGCACUCCAUGGGCCCGACCAAUUCCUUUCUCACUUAUCAUAUGUGCACUGCUGCUCAUUUGGAGGUUUC